AGGACGAACGCUGGCGGCGUGUCUAAUACAUGCAAGUCGAACGGUCUUUUCUAUGGAAGCUUGCUUCCACUGAGAAGAUAGUGGCGAACGGGUGAGUAACACGUGGGUAACCUGCCCAUAAGAGGGGGAUAACAUCCGGAAACGGGUGCUAAUACCGCAUAGUUUUCUUGAUCGCAUGAUUGAGAAAGGAAAGACGGCCUUUGUGCUGUCGCUUAUGGAUGGACCCGCGGCGUAUUAGUUAGUUGGUGAGGUAACGGCUCACCAAGACGAUGAUACGUAGCCGACCUGAGAGGGUGAUCGGCCACAUUGGGACUGAGACACGGCCCAAACUCCUACGGGAGGCAGCAGUAGGGAAUCUUCCGCAAUGGACGAAAGUCUGACGGAGCAACGCCGCGUGAGUGAAGAAAGGUUUUCGGAUCGUAAAACUCUGUUGUCAGAGAAGAACAAGUUGGAGAGUAACUGCUCCAGCCUUGACGGUAUCUGACCAGAAAGCCACGGCUAACUACGUGCCAGCCGCGGC
rnacentral:rRNA from 1 species